rnacentral:misc_RNA from 1 species
UCCGGAGUUUCUCCGGCAGUCCCCCAUGAGUGCUCGGCACUACCCGGUGGCAACAUAGGGCGGGGGUUGCGCUCGUUGCGGGACUUAACCCAACACCUCACGGCACGAGCUGACGACAGCCAUGCAACACCUGUCCUGGUACCCGACUUUACGGGUCGGCCACCCUUUCAGGCGCCUACUACCGGCAUGUCAAGCCUGGGUAAGGUUCUUCGCUUUGCAUCGAAUUAAAGAACAUGCUCCGCUGCUUGUGCGGGCCCCCGUCAAUUCUUUUGAGUUUCAGCCUUGCGGCCGUACUCCCCAGGCGGGGCACUUACUGCGUUAGCGACGGCACCGGGAGGGUCGCUCCCCCCGACGCCUAGUGCCCAUCGUUUACGGCGUGGACUAC